GACGAACGCUGGCGGCGUGCUUAACACAUGCAAGUCGAACGGAAAGGCCUCUUUCGGGGGGUACUCGAGUGGCGAACGGGUGAGUAACACGUGAGUAACCUGCCCUUGACUUUGGGAUAACUUCAGGAAACUGGGGCUAAUACCGGAUAGGAGCUCCUGCUGCCUGGUGGGGGUUGGAAAGUUUCGGCGGUUGGGGGUGGACUCGCGGCUUAUCCGCUUGUUGUUGGGGUAGUGGCUUACCAAGGCUUUGACGGGUAGCCGGCCUGAGAGGGUGACCGGCCACAUUGGGACUGAGAGACGGCCCAGACUCCUACGGGAGGCAGAAGGGGGGAAGAUUGCACAAGGGGUGGAAGGCGGAUGCAGCAACGCCGUGUGCGGGAGGACGGCCUUCGGGUUGUAAAACGCUUUCGCUCAUGACGAAGCUUUGUGUGACGGUAGUGGGUAAAGAAGCACCGGCUAACUACGUG
rnacentral:rRNA from 1 species